GAGAGGAUGUUUCCACUAGUGGGAGAGUCUAGGACUAGAGGCCACAGCCUCGGUAUAAAAGGAGGUACCUUU